rnacentral:rRNA from 1 species
GACAGAGGAUGCAAGCGUUAUCCGGAAUUAUUGGGCGUAAAGCGCUCGUAGGCGGGACUGGAAGUCCGUGUUGAAAGACCUCGGCUCAACUGAGGGACCGGCUCGGAUACUCUAGUUCUUUGAGGCAAUCAGAGGGUGAUGGAAUUCCUGGUGUAGCGGUGGAAUGCGCAGAUAUCAGGAGGAACACCGAUGGCGAAGGCAGGUCUCUGGGCCACUACUGACGCUGAGAAGCGAAAGCAUGGGGGAGCGAACAGG